rnacentral:rRNA from 1 species
AUGAGCGGGAUGAUCUCGUCCACCACCUGCUUGAACUCCUGCGCCUCCAGGGACAUGUCCAUCGCCACGUCCCUGCGCUCCGUCUUCCUCUACGACAACAACCUCACCGGCGCCUUCCCGCCGGCGCUCGGGCGCUGCAGGCAGCUGCAGCGGCUGCUCCUUGCAAACAAUGGGUUCUCCGGUCACAUACCGGCCGCCGCCUUGCCGCAGAUGAAGAGCCUGCAGGUGCUCGACCUGUCGUCCAACACCCUCACGGACGCCAUCCCGCCUGAGCUCGGCAAGCUCCAGGCGCUGGCCGGCACACUGAACAUCUCCCGCAACCGCCUCUCCGACGCGGUGCCGCCGGAGCUGGGACGUCUCCCGGCGACCGUCACCCUCGACCUCCGCUUCAACAACCUCUCCGGCGAGAUCCCGCAGUCCGGGUCCCUCGCCAGCCAGGGCGCCACGGCCUUCCUCAACAACCCCGGGCUCUGCGGUUUCCCGCUCCAGGUCCCCUGCCGCGCGGCCCCGCCGUCGGCAUCCUCCUCCACGCCGCCUCCGACCACCACUGGCUCCGGCGGCAGCGCCGGCGGCACUAGCCAGCCGAUGAAGACCAGCUUCAUCGUGCUCAUCUCGGCCGCCGACGCGGCCGGCGUCGCCCUCAUCGGAGUCAUCGUGGUGUACAUAUACUGGAAGCUGCGCGACCGGCGCGGGGAUGAUGUCGACGACGAGGAGGACGAGGAGGGGCGAGGGCUCUUCGCCUGCCCGUGCAUGCGCGCAAACACCUGCGGGGACUCGUCGGACGGGUCCGACGCGGGCGGCGGCGAGAAGAAACGCGGCAACGGUUCCGGGGGCGGAGGCGGCGGCGAGGACGGGGAGCUGGUGGCGAUCGACAAGGGGUUCCAGAUGGAGCUGGACGAGCUGCUCCGCGGCCCCGGAGCGGUACAAGGAGUUCGCGGCGGAGGCCGGCGUCGUCGGGCGCGUGCGGAGGCCGGCGUCGUCGUGCUCUUUUUUCCAACGGCUUGCUCUGCUCUGAAGAAUAGAACAGGUUUUGGAAACGGCAGGGAGGUUUCUGCAAAACUGCGUGCGCUGACCGGCCCAGCCAAUUGGCGAGCUCUGAUUGGCCUGGGACUAAAACAUCACAUUGUAUGCAAGUUGGGGUAUGAGUUGAUCUAG